GCGGAUGGCUGGAUGACCGCGGGGCCAAAGUCGAAAGGCUGGCCGCGAGGAAAGUCCGGACUCCAUGAAGGAAGGGUGCCGGGUAACGCCCGGCGGGGGUAACCCCAGGGAAAGCGCCACAGAGAACAGACCGCCUCGCCAAAGCGAAGGUUCGCCUUCGACGCGGAUGAGGUAAGGGUGAAACGGU
rnacentral:ncRNA from 2 species